rnacentral:rRNA from 1 species
GAUGAACGCUGGCGGCGUGCCUAAUACAUGCAAGUCGAGCGAACGGACGAGAAGCUUGCUUCUCUGAUGUUAGCGGCGGACGGGUGAGUAACACGUGGAUAACCUACCUAUAAGACUGGGAUACUUCGGGAAGCCGGAGCUAAUACCGGAUAAUAUUUUGAACCGCAUGGUUCAAAAGUGAAAGACGGUCUUGCUGUCACUUAUAGAUGGAUCCGCGCUGCAUUAGCUAGUUGGUAAGGUAACGGCUUACCAAGGCAACGAUGCAUAGCCGACCUGAGAGGGUGAUCGGCCACACUGGAACUGAGACACGGUCCAGACUCCUACGGGAGGCAGCAGUAGGGAAUCUUCCGCAAUGGGCGAAAGCCUGACGGAGCAACGCCGCGUGAGUGAUGAAGGUCUUCGGAUCGUAAAACUCUGUUAUUAGGGAAGAACAUAUGUGUAAGUAACUGUGCACAUCUUGACGGUACCUAAUCAGAAAGCCACGGCUAACUACGUG